rnacentral:lncRNA from 1 species
AAGGAUCAUCACAGAUUAUAUUCUCACAUCAUCACGUCUAGAGCAGCGACGUCAGAUCAGAUCAGAGGAUCAGACGCUCGGAGGCGUCGGCCUGACGGAUCAUCACAGAUCAACCUCCUCCUACUUCCUCAUCACUUCAUCCUUCAUCCUCAUCACUUCAUCCUUUAUCCUACAUCCUCAUCACUUCAUCCUUUAUCCUUCAUCCUACAUCCUCAUCACUUCAUCCUUUAUCCUUCAUCCUACAUCCUACAUCCUCAUCACUUCAUCCUUUAUCCUUCAUCCUACAAAGUCAUCACUUCAUCCUCAUCACUUCAUCCUUUAUCCUUCAUCCUACAAACUCAUCACUUCAUCCUCAUCACUUCAUCCUUUAUCCUACAUCCUCAUCACUUCAUCCUUUAUCCUUCAUCCUACAUCCUCAUCACUUCAUCCUUUAUCCUUCAUCCUACAUCCUACAUCCUCAUCACUUCAUCCUUUAUCCUUCAUCCUACAAACUCAUCGCUUCAUCCUCAUCACUUAAUUUUCAUCCUACAUCCUGAUCACUUCCUCCUUCAUCCUCAUCACUUCAUCCUUCAUCCUGAUCACUUCAUCCUACAUCCUCAUCACUUCAUCCUACAUCCUCAUCACUUCAUCCUUAUCACUUCAUCCUUCAUCCUACAUCCUCAUCACUUCCUCCUUCAUCCUCAUCACUUCAUCCUUAUCACUUCAUCCUACAUCCUCAUCACUUCAUCCUUCAUCCUACAUCCUCAUCACUUCAUCCUUCACCUUCAUCCUAAUCACUACAUUCGUUAUCUUUCAUCCUACAUCCUCAUCACUUUAUCCUUCAUCCUCAUCACUUCAUCCUACAUCCUCAUCACUGCAUCCUUAUCACUUCAUCCUUCAUCCUACAUCCUCAUCACUUCAUCCUUCACCUUCAUCCUAAUCACUACAUUCGUUAUCUUUCAUCCUACAUCCUCAUCACUUCAUCCUUCAUCCUCAUCACUUCAUCCUACAUCCUCAUCACUGCAUCCUUAUCACUUCAUACUUCAUCCUACAUCCUCAUCACUUCCUCCUUCAUCCUCAUCACUUCAUCCUACAUCCUCAUCACUUCAUCCUACAUCCUCAUCACUUCAUCCUCAUCACUUCAUCCUUCAUCCCUCCUUCCCUGACAUCUUUGGCCUCAGGACCACGUUCAGCUGGUUUUUCGAUAAACAAACAUCUUUCAACUGUUCUCAAAUUUUCUUUUUCAGACGAACUCAGUUGACCGUCAUUUGCCACGAAGAAAAACAUUUAAUUCAGAAGCUUUUUCUCAAAAAAUUACUUUUCAAUUAUUAG